rnacentral:rRNA from 1 species
GAUGAACGCUGGCGGCGUGCCUAAUACAUGCAAGUCGAGCGAAUGGAUUAAGAGCUUGCUCUUAUGAAGUUAGCGGCGGACGGGUGAGUAACACGUGGGUAACCUGCCCAUAAGACUGGGAUAACUCCGGGAAACCGGGGCUAAUACCGGAUAACAUUUUGAACCGCAGGGUUCGAAAUUGAAAGGCGGCUUCGGCUGUCACUUAUGGAUGGACCCGGGUCGCAUUAGCUAGUUGGUGAGGUAACGGCCCACCAAGGCAACGAUGCGUAGCCGACCUGAGAGGGUGAUCGGCCACACUGGGACUGAGACACGGCCCAGACUCCUACGGGAGGCAGCAGUAGGGAAUCUUCCGAAAUGGACGAAAGUCUGACGGAGCAACGCCGCGUGAGUGAUGAAGGCUUUCGGGUCGUAAAACUCUGUUGUUAGGGAAGAUCAAGUGCUAGUUGAAUAAGCUGGCACCUUGACGGUACCUAACCAGAAAGCCACGGCUAACUACGUGCCAGCCGCCGCGGUAA